UCUUGUUAUUGCUCCGGGAACACCCUCAACUCCCCUAUUCACAGUAAACUGUUUAGAUGGAGGAGGGUUCAACCACUACUCUUCUCUGAUAUAAGAGUGUACGUAGUUGUAUUGCUAGUACACAUGACCCAAACUACACACACGGAUCUGUCGAAGAUAACAGACAAUAAGAGAAGCUCUAUUAAGGCUCCUUCCAGCAUUCCUUAUAUAAGCUAGGAAACCUUAUCUUAUAGAAAGGACUGGUUCUUAUCACAAGUACCUCUUAUACCUAUACCUCUGUUUCAAGCUUUAUCAGGCCUUAGUCAGUCGAGGCACUCAGCGCUCCUAGUCUCCGACUGCGCUCCAACAUACGGAAUCUGACACAAUCGGACUCUUCCUUCGUGGGCUUAACUGAUAAACUCCCUCUCCCCAAAUAACAUCGAGGGCAGAAGUAGAGUUAUCAAGAUACUGUAUGAAUAAGGAUGAUUGACCUGUUUAGUAAAGAAGGUAAAGGUCUCCCUAAUCUGACCCUUUAUAAAGAUCAAUAAGAACACUGUUCACAAGCUCACUCUCAUAGAUCCUUAACAGGAUCAGAUUAAGGAAACCCUUACCUUCUUUCCUAAUCAUUAACGAAGCUGGAAGACCUGAUAAAGCUAAACAACUCUUAUGUUGUCUUAUCUUUGAGGAGUGAGUCUUGAGCCUCAGCUUCUUAGUAACUAGUGUUAAGGAGAGUUAUAAACCUCAAAGGUCUGCUCAGCUUACUGACGUAUCUAUGCAAACCUCUUUGUUCAUAACAGUGAAGUGAGGUUCUACAAGAAGCCUUCCAGAGCCGUUUUGCUGUAAAGUAUAGGAGGUGACAGCAACCGGCAGUGCAUUUCUAAGUCUUCAAUGAACAACUAAUGAAUAAGCUUACUCCAAACGAGCCUUUGCAAGUUGUAUCGAAGAGAGUUAUAAUAUACUCUUUGAAGACCCCGUCGCAAGAUAGACAUUACAAUAACUCUAGCGUCUCUACAACUCUGCAAAGGGGAUUAACCCUACCUCUGUAUACUACGGUUUAACCUUGGUGCAUUCUCCAUUAGCGAUAUGUUAGACUGUCGAAGAGCACUAAACGAGCUCUAACCAGGAUUUGACAAAGCACGGUUUCUUAUUUACCAUUCUUAAGCUUCAACCUUAACAUUCUCACAAUACACUGCCGAGCUCAACACGAACUCAUGAACAACACGACUGAUCACAUAAGACGUGUCUGGGACAUCUUAGUAAACGAGAACAGUAUUGUUACAGGUUCGGU
rnacentral:rRNA from 1 species